rnacentral:misc_RNA from 1 species
GAUGAAGAACGUAGUGAAAUGCGAUAAGUAAUGUGAAUUGCAGAAUUCAGUGAAUCAUCGAAUCUUUGAACGCACCUUGCGCCUUUUGGUAUUCCGAAAGGCACACCUGUUUGAGCGUCAUGAAUACCUCAAUCUCCAUCUUUUCUUCGGAUUGAUGGGUGACUUGGAUGUUGAGCCCUGCUGGUAUGCUAUAUCAGCUGGCUUUAAACUUAUUAGCCGGCUCUGUACUGGAUCGGUUUGACUCGACGUGAUAAUAUUAUCGUUGAGGAUGCAUGUCUCAUGCAGCCGGAAAGUAUCAAAGCAGCUUCUAGCUUGCCUUUAGUGCACUUUUACAUUUUAGACCUCAGAUCAGGUGGGACUACCCGCUGAACUUAAGCAUAUCAAUAAGCGGAGG